AAGUUAGUCGGUGCCGAUAAAAGGUGAACUUGGCGAUUACGUAAUGCGCACUGAGGCGACACGAGCGUACAAUGGCGGGAAAAUCUGAAUAAAUUGCUCAGAAUAAUGGAGGCAGUGCAUGAAUGGGCGACAUUCGCACAUGUUUUCGUUCAAUAUAAUUAUAUACAAGUAAUGAGCCUGUUAAAGCUUAUGCAUGCGUCAAGAACGACUCCCUCGUCUGUAAACAAAACUUGAAAGGAAUAAAAGCUACAGAUAUUAAAUUCUUAUUUCUCAUUAUACGUUUAUUGUCUGCACUGUGCAGUCUACAUUUCAGCAUGCAAGAUACAGCAACAAGCGGACUAUGCACAGGAAGGAUAUGUAGAUUGAUUUAAGUGGACAGUUGAUGCCGAUCGAAGCAGAACCCCUGAAAUCCUAUGCAAUGGUUUAAUUGCAGCUGCUGUAGAAGUCCAAGACAUUGCAGGAAAUCCCAUGGAUAUCAGUGUCAGACUGAUUCCAUUUGCAUCAACCAUUUUAAGAACUCAACAAGUCUACGGUGAAGCAGUCAGUUCGUCGCCAUCACCUAUGCAUUUCUGGAUGUCUUGAUCGAGCUUUCCCCUACCUGCUUAAGCACCCAUUCAGAGCACAGAGAAUGACAAGCCACGGAGCAGUGAAUUAAGUAACAGGAAUGUUCUUUGUGACACUGUGUUAAGGGUGUACUCCAGGUUGAAACUAAUGCGGUUUAAACAGAUAAAGUAAGAUAAGAUGAACAAAAGACCGAAAGUUUCAUCAAAAUCGGACAAAGGAUAAGAAAAUUAUGAUACUUUAAAGCCUUGCAUUAUGUCUUCACGAACAUGAUGAAUGUGCAAUGAGCACGCUGAUGACGUCAUGCUCCCCAUUUAUUCUUUUGUAUUUUAUUGUAUGAAAUUUUAUUCAAUUUUUCCAUCAGGAAUAAAAAAAAAUGGAUUGACAGCUGAUUUGAUGCAUAAGGUAUUCACUGCUGCAAUUUUUUUUUAUUACAAAGGAGACAUCAAACAAAAAUGAUUUCAUGUAAGAACAUAACAACAUGAUUUUUUGUGGCAUGAUAUCAUCAGCCCUCCUAAUGAAUAUUCAGGCGCGUAUAACUG